GGGGCAGCUGCUAUCUUUGAGACAGAAAGAUGCAGGACAGCAUUUCAUAUGUAACCAUGGGAAUGUUUUUGCUGUUUUUAGAAUGCAGAACCCAGGUUGGGGGGUGCCUGGGAGGUGGGGUAAGAAGAGCUUCCGUUUGUCCCAUAGAUUGCACAGUAGGGGCGGUUGUGCCAGGGGCAGCUGCUGACGAGUUUGCGACAACCAGCCCAUCUGGUGCCUGGGUGCUCACUCAAGAGGGGCUGUCAUCUGGGAUCCCAGGCCCCUGGGUCCCUCGUCCCUGGCCAGUCCCCUCUGACUGAGGCCUCCCCUCUGCCCUUCGCCAGGGCCCAUUCUUAACCCUACCCAUGGAUCAUUUCAAGAACCCUCUGUUUACUGUGCAGCACCCAGGCAAAACAUGCUCCACGAAUCCAACUUGUAUAUUUGGCAGAUUAAACUUGACAUUAUCAUAAUCCUUGUUCGUGAGCCGUUGGUGGGCCCCGUGCUGGGCUGUUUUCACCCAGAAGGGCACAGUGUCACUCUCAGGCAGGCCUGUCCUGCAAGGUUCAGGUGGCACCAAGCAUAGGAAUGGGGUACAGGGACUGGACCCUGGGCAUCUCAGCUGGGAGAGACCCCCUCUGCUCCUUAACCAAGUAGGGACCUUAGGCCAGAGUGGCCAGGGACCCGUCCAAGAUCCACAGCAGGCCAGCCAGGAGCAGCAGCUCGCCUUCCUGUCCUGUCCUUAGGUGCCCUGUGGUGGUAACAGCCUCAGGAUUUCAGCGCUGAGAGGAAGUGUCCUGAUACUAAGCAUGACUGCCAGGCAUUACCUCCUUCAAUCCUUUCCACCCUGUAUGGUGGAGAUGGCAGUGGGGAAACUGAGGCUUAGCACAAUCACAUGGGCUGCCUGCAGACUCAAGCACAGUGAAGGGUAACCACAGCUCCUAUCCUGCCCCUGCACCCCGCCAUGAGGCGCACUCCACCUCAUGAACAGCAUCCUUUGCACACAGUCCUGAGAGGUCAGGGACUGGGUGCCAAGCAGGGAGUUUGGCCCGAGGCCAGGGACUUAGUGGCAGAGAUGAAGUCAAGCCCCUGACUCCCAGUGACCGCUACCACACCCCCUGGGCUUGACCAUGUUGGAGGUCGACAGCCCCAGGAGGGAGUGAUAGCACAGCUGCCAGCAUCUGCAGCUCACCCUGGCCUGCCGAAUACCCCUCUGACCCUGGCUCUGAGGAGCAGGCAUUACCUCAAAGGUUUUGCCAAACCUGGAGAAGGUCAUGCAGCUGCUGCUGCCCAGGUUCAGGUCUGCACCAUGGAAAUGAGGUUCUGUGAUAAGAUGGAGGAAAGUGCAUGAAGGUGGUGGCUGUUGGUAAGGUUCACUGACAAAGCACCCUGUUGUUGGGUCCAGGGGCCGCCAGCCAGCAGAACUGGGGCCACGUGGGGCGGUAAUGAGGUGUCUUGUAACAUGCUGGAAGUAGGAGGUCCACGUGAAGGGCUGCCGUGAAGAGGCUGUGUUUGGCACCGGCCAGCAAGGCUUCCUCUGUGCCCAGAACAGUCCUGGUCUUGUUUGACCUUGGGGCGAGGACAGAGGCAAGGACUUCCUUGGUGUCUGCAGGCCUCCGAGUGUGGUUCUGCAGAUCUCACUGCCUACCUGGGUGGUGUGCCAACAAGAGUUGCUCAAAGUGUUUCCCUCCUGGCUCAGCUGGAGACCCGGGCUCACUGAGUGUGUUUCGGCAGAUGUCCCUCCAGUGGAGCUUGGUUGUCCGACCCGAGUUUGGAUCCUGGCUUUGCCACUUUCUGCCUGUGAGACUGGGCGAGCAUGUCUACAAUUGCAUUUUUAUUACCUCCAUAUUUUGAAGCAGUUCAUGACCAGUAGAGUGCUUUGGGGACAUUUUUU